UGGGGAAUUUUUCGCAAUGGGCGCAAGCCUGACGAAGCAACGCCGCGUGGAGGAUGAAGGCCUUCGGGUUGUAAACUCCUGUCGACCGGGACGAAAGCAGACUGGGUGAUAACCCCAGGUUGUUGACUGUACCGGUGGAGGAAGCCACGGCUAACUCUGUGCCAGCAGCCGCAGUAAUACAGAGGUGGCAAGCGUUGUUCGGAAUUACUGGGCGUAAAGGGCGCGUAGGCGGUUCGGUAAGUCCCGUGUGAAAUCCCUCGGCUCAACUGAGGAACUGCACGGGAGACUGCCGGGCUUGAGUUCGGGAGAGGGAAGCGGAAUUCCGGGUGUAGCGGUGAAAUGCGUAGAUAUCCGGAGGAACACCGGUGGCGAAGGCGGCUUCCUGGACCGACACUGACGCUGAGGCGCGAAAGCUAGGGGAGCAAACGGGAUUAGAUACCCCGGUAGUCCUAGCUGUAAACGAUGAGCGCUGGGUGUAGGGGGUAUCAACCCCCCCUGUGCCGAAGCUAACGCAUUAAGCGCUCCG
rnacentral:rRNA from 1 species